AUUGAACGCUGGCGGCAUGCUUUACACAUGCAAGUCGAACGGUAACAGGCCUUCGGGUGCUGACGAGUGGCGAACGGGUGAGUAAUGCAUCGGAACGUGCCCAAUCGUGGGGGAUAACGUAGCGAAAGUUACGCUAAUACCGCAUAAGCCCUGAGGGGGAAAGUGGGGGACCGGCAAGGCCUCAACGCGGAAUGGAGCGGCCGAUGUCAGAUUAGCUAGUUGGNGGGGUAAAGCCCACCAAGGCGACGAUCUGUAGCGGGUCUGAGAGGAUGAUCCGCCACACUGGGACUGAGACACGGCCCAGACUCCUACGGGAGGCAGCAGUGGGGAAUUUUGGACAAUGGGCGCAAGCCUGA
rnacentral:rRNA from 1 species